UAAUACGGAGGGUGCAAGCAUUAAUCGGAUUUAUUGGGCGUAAAGGGCGCGUAGGCGGAAAGAAAAGUCAGGUGUGAAAUGCCGGGGCUCAACCUCGGAAUGGCAUUUGAAACUUUCUUUCUUGAGGGUAGAAGGAGAAAACGGAAUUCCACAAGUAGCGGUGAAAUGCGUAGAUAUGUGGAAGAACACCGGUGGCGAAGGCGGUUUUCUAUUUUAUUCCUGACGCUAAGGCGCGAAAGCAAGGGGAUCAAACAGG
rnacentral:rRNA from 1 species